rnacentral:rRNA from 1 species
CGUACAGCUCUGUAACACGUGGCUAACCUGCCCUUGGGAUGGGGGCACCCCCGGGAAACUGGGGCUAAUCCCCGAUAGGUGAAGAACACUGGAAUGUGUCUUCGCCCAAAAGCCGUCGGAGCAUCUUCCGGCGGUGCCUAAGGAUGGGGCCGCGACCGAUCAGGUUGUUGGUGAGGUAAUGGCCCACCAAGCCUAUAACCGGUGCGGGCCGUGGGAGCGGGAGCCCGGAGAUGGGCACUGAGACAAGGGCCCAGGUCCUACGGGGCGCAGCAGUCGCGAAAACUUUGCAAUAAGCGAAAGCUUGACAGGGCUAUCCCGAGUGCCAUCCGCUGAGGAAGGCUUUUACCCAGUCUAGAACGCUGGGGGAAUAAGGAGAGGGCAAGUCUGGUGUCAGCCGCCGCGGUAAUACCAGCUCUCCGAGUGGUGUGGAUGUUUAUUGGGCCUAAAGCAUCCGUAGCUGGCUAGGUUAGUCCCCUGUUAAAUCCACCGAAUUAAUCGUUGGAUUGCGGGGGAUACUGCUUGGCUAGGGGACGAGAGAGGCAGACGGUAUUUUCGGGGUAGGGGUGAAAUCCUAUAAUCCCGGGAAGACCACCAGUGGCGAAGGCUGUCUGCUAGAACGCGCCCGACGGUGAGGGAUGAAAGCUGGGGGAGCGAACC